UACGUAGGGGGCUAGCGUUGUCCGGAAUCAUUGGGCGUAAAGGGCUCGUAGGCGGCCAACUAAGUCGGAUGUGAAAUCCCCAGGCUUAACCUGGGAACUGCAUCCGAUACUGGAUGGCUUGAAUCCGGGAGAGGGAUGCGGAAUUCCAGGUGUAGCGGUGAAAUGCGUAGAUAUCUGGAGGAACACCGGUGGCGAAGGCGGCAUCCUGGACCGGCAUUGACGCUGAGGAGCGAAAGCCAGGGGAGCAAACGGG
rnacentral:rRNA from 1 species